AACGCGAAGAACCUUACCAGGGUUUGACAUGCAUGAGAAGUCUCCAGAAAUGGGGGUCCCUUCGGGGUUCAUGCACAGGUGCUGCAUGGCUGUCGUCAGCUCGUGCCGUGAGGUGUUGGGUUAAGUCCCGCAACGAGCGCAACCCUCAUCCCUAGUUGCCACCGGGUAAUGCCGAGCACUCUAGUGAAACCGCCCCGGAUAACGGGGAGGAAGGUGGGGAUGACGUCAAGUCCUCAUGGCCUUUAUGUCCAGGGCUACACACGUGCUACAAUGGUCGGUACAAACCGUCGCAAAGCUGCAAAGUGGAGCUAAUCGGAAAAAGCCGGCCUCAGUUCGGAUUGGAGUCUGCAACUCGACUCCAUGAAGCUGGAAUCGCUAGUAAUCGCAGAUCAGAACGCUGCGGUGAAUACGUUCCCGGGCCUUGUACACACCGAUACUC
rnacentral:rRNA from 1 species